rnacentral:tRNA from 1 species
GUGAGCAUAGCUCAGUUGGUAGAACAAUGCAUUAUUAUAUGUAGGGGUCGGGGUUCGAACCCCGGACACCUCAUU